GCCCGGUUAGCUCAAUCGGUAGAGCGUGAGACUCUUAAUCUCAAGGUUGCGGGUGAGUACUCACCUGACA